UGCCAGCAGCCGCGGUAAUACGAAGGGACCUAGCGUAGUUCGGAAUUACUGGGCUUAAAGAGUACGUAGGUGGUUAAAAAAGUUGGUGGUGAAAUCCCAGAGCUCAACUCUGGAACUGCCAUCAAAACUUUUUAACUAGAGUAUGAUAGAGGUAAGCGGAAUUUCUAGUGUAGAGGUGAAAUUCGUAGAUAUUAGAAAGAACACCGAAUGCGAAGGCAGCUUUCUGGAUCAUUACUGACACUGAGGUACGAAAGCAUGGGUAGCGAAGAGGAUUAGAUA
rnacentral:rRNA from 1 species